rnacentral:rRNA from 1 species
AGUGAACGCUGGCGGUAGGCCUAACACAUGCCAGUCGAACGGCAGCACAGUAAGAGCUUGCUCUUACGGGUGGCGAGUGGCGGACGGGUGAGGAAUACAUCGGAAUCUACUUUUUCGUGGGGGAUAACGUAGGGAAACUUACGCUAAUACCGCAUACGACCUACGGGUGAAAGCAGGGGAUCUUCGGACCUUGCGCGAUAGAAUGAGCCGAUGUCGGAUUAGCUAGUUGGCGGGGUAAAGGCCCACCAAGGCGACGAUCCGUAGCUGGUCUGAGAGGAUGAUCAGCCACACUGGAACUGAGACACGGUCCAGACUCCUACGGGAGGCAGCAGUGGGGAAUAUUGGACAAUGGGCGCAAGCCUGAUCCAGCCAUACCGCGUGGGUGAAGAAGGCCUUCGGGUUGUAAAGCCCUUUUGUUGGGAAAGAAAAGCAGCAGGUUAAUACCCCGCUGUUCUGACGGUACCCAAAGAAUAAGCACCGGCUAACUUCGUG